GAGAACCCUGGCUCGCCUUUCUGUGAAUUCAAAGAAAUUUGCGGCGGUGGUAGUGGCGUUCGUGUCGGAUUGAUCCUCACCCUUAUUGGAGCUCUCCUCGUGAUCGUAGUUCUACUCGUCUUCUUCUGUGUUACAAAGAGGCUGCUGCCGUCUUAGUGUCUUCUUCGUCUCACUGGGGAAAUUUUUUUUUUUUUUGUAUGGAAAGUUACUGUGUUAAAUUUUGGUAAUAAAAACGUCACUAUUUUGCAUUGUUAUAUGAACUCGGUUUCUAGUUAAAUUUUUGUUAAUAGUUUAUCAAUUAUCAAAUGGCAAAUGACGCUCUUUGGUUCAUUGAUUGUAUGGUUUGUAUUACU
rnacentral:lncRNA from 1 species